rnacentral:rRNA from 1 species
CCUACGGGGGGCAGCCGUAGGGAAUAUUGCUCAAUGGGGGAAACCCUGAAGCAGCAACGCCGCGUGGAGGAUGAAGGUUUUCGGAUUGUAAACUCCUUUUGUUAGAGAAGAUAAUGACGGUAUCUAACGAAUAAGCACCGGCUAACUCCGUGACAGCAGCCGCGGUAAGACGGGGGGUGCAAGCGUUACUCGGAAUCACUGGGCGUAAAGAGCGCGUAUGCGGGAUAGCAAGUCAGAUGUGAAAUCCUAGGGCUUAACCAUAGAACUGCAUUUGAAACUGUUAUUCUAGAGUAUGGGAGAGGUAGGUGGAAUGCUUGGUGUAGGGGUGAAAGGCGUAGAGAUCAAGAGGAAUACUCAUUGCGAAGGCGACCUGCUAGAACAUAACUGACGCUGAUGCGCGAAAGCGUGGGGAGCAAACAGGAUUAGAUACCCCGGUAGUC